CAUUCCGGGCAUUUGGAGAUCCAUAAAACAAGCAUCAAACUUGUGGGGAGGCUUAAGCAACCCAACAGCUACCUUUCCCCCCUCCACACAGGUAACAACUGCUCCAUAUUUUUUCAGAGCACCUUCUGCCACUCUUCUGUUCACAGAAGUAUCAUCCACCACCAAAAUUUGUUUAGCUCUGAGUAGAGUUCUUAGCGUUGAUGAUUUAGCCCUUGUAUUAUGCUCCGUCUUUCCAAAUCCAGUAGCUUCUUGGAAGGUGAAUGCCAAUGCACUUAACCUUAAAGGUUUUGUUAUCACAUUAUCCACUAGCCUGUCCAAUUUCAGCUCUUUCCUUUCUGAAGAGCUUGUGCAGGUUGCUAACAAGAAUAUUUUCAGAGGGAUCCCUGAAUUAUUUAUGGAGCCAUUUUGUUUGAUCGUCUUUAGCAGGUUAUGGAAUCGAAAGCAAAUAUCUUUAUCCCAACUGUCUUGGUCAAUAAGAACCAUAGCUAAAUUCUCCAACACACUGUAUACAGAAUAACUAAGAGCAAUUAGCAAAAACAAGGUCAAAGCACAAUACCAUGGUUCCAACUUUUCUACAAUUUAAGCAUGUCAUAAAGUUAUGUUUUUCUUCCUGGAAUUUGUAAGAAUUAUGGCACUCAUGUUACUGAAGUGCAGACUUAUCAUUAUAGAAGUUGAACAUAAUUAUUGUAGCAGAAAUAAGAAUAUCUACUAAAACAAAACCUUGGCACAUCUGCCUAUUAAGGCUCUAUAAAUUUCUAGUCGUUAGCAGGGAAAAGCUAUGAUGCUCGGACUCCGGUAUGGGUAUCGGGCACGGCUACAUAUUUAAGCGUCGGAUCUUUUAUUUUCUAUAAUGUAGAAUACAGGGACAUGGAUAAAAAUAGUCUAAAUUUUGGACACAGGUAAGUGGGUACGUCUUUCAAACUUUGAUUUUUUUACUAAUCCAAUAUGUGCAUUUUGAAUAGACCAAAAUCAAUUGUUCACAAAGAAGGAAAUGAGUAUUAAAUAAGGGGUUAAGACGAAUAAAAUAGAAUUUUAUGGGAAAUUAAUUAUUAAAUGUUAUAUAAAAUAAAAANAUGCUUCUUCCACGAAGUAGCGCUGUACAAUAAAUAUGACCUGAAAACAGGGAUAGACCAUAUGAAGUUGGCAGAUAUUCCUCUUGUUUUAUUGCCGCAGAAUUAAUCAUACCAUCUCUCACUGCACUCCUAAAGUGCUCCAUGCAUUAUGUUAAGUCUAUGUCAGCGUCCAUUCCUGGAAAUAUAAAUUAUAAGUAUGAAUAUUACAGAAGAUGACUUCGUUGACUGGAGUAUUUUAUUUAACAUUUCGAAGCAAGAAAAACAACAGUUUUUCAUUUUGGAAGGAGAAUUAUAAUUUCCGCAUUUUGCAACAUAGCUACUUUUCCAGCUAUUUCUACUCUGCCUUGUAUUGCUUACCUACUAUGUGGUAAGUAUAUCAUUUCGUUUUAUUGCCGCAGAAUUAAUCAUACCAUCUCUCACUGCACUCCUAAAGUGCUCCAUGCAUUAUGUUAAGUCUAUGUCAGCCUCCAUUCCUGGAAAUAUAAAUUAUAAGUAUGAAUAUUACAGAAGAUGACUUCGUUGACUGGAGUAUUUUAUUUAACAUUUCGAAGCAAGAAAAACAACAGUUUUUCAUUUUGGAAGGAGAAUUAUAAUUUCCGCAUUUUGCAACAUAGCUACUUUUCCAGCUAUUUCUACUCUGCCUUGUAUUGCUUACCUACUAUGUGGUAAGUAUAUCAUUUCAUAUGGAGCUAGUCAAUCUUAGAAGUUGAUCCCUUCUGCAAGAUUAAAGCCUCACUUAUAUACAUACCUCAAAGACUUCUCAAGGAAAUGAUAUAUAGGGAAGCACGGUCAUAAAUUUCAGAAACCAUUAUGUCACAUAUCAUAUUUUGUAAUCAUAUAUUUGCUAAAUCUUCAGGGAAAUAAAAUAGAAGAAACCAUGACCUAAACAUUUUCAGUAUUGUUCAUUAAGUAGAACAAACUUAACUUGAUACAGGCAAAAACUCUUUCGAGUAUAUCACAAAACACAUGAAAUCCCGAGCUAGGAUGAAGUCACACGAGAUAAAAUUUUUACUUUAUUUUAGUCUUCUAGUAGUUUUUGGGCAGGGAAGUUCUACCUUUUAUCUCUUUUAUCUGGAGGUUAGGCCUACCCCUUUCUAAGUCUGUUGAUGUGAUCCAUGGCACAAAAGCAAGUCCGGGCAAGGAUCCAUUGAUCGUUGAAGAAUGGCCUAUGACUAGGUCACGAGCGAAGAGGAUUAAAAAAGCAAUGAGACUACUCGCUCAAACCAUGGUGGACGAAACAAUGAAAGUAUAUCACAAAACACAUGAAAUCCCGAGCUAGGAUGAAGUCACACGAGAUAAAAUUUUUACUUUAUUUUAGUCUUCUAGUAGUUUUUGGGCAGGGAAGUUCUACCUUUUAUCUGGAGGUUAGGCCUACCCCUUUCUAAGUCUGUUGAUGUGAUCCAUGGCACAAAAGCAAGUCCGGGCAAGGAUCCAUUGAUCGUUGAAGAAUGGCCUAUGACUAGGUCACGAGCGAAGAGGAUUAAAAAAGCAAUGAGACUACUCGCUCAAACCAUGGUGGACGAAACAAUGAUCAUGGCAAGCAAAGAAACAAGACUCGUGUUGGACUUGGGAGAAGAAACACGAUGGAUCAACUUAGUUCAAACAAUAGACGGAUGAGCUGAAACGAGGUCCUAUGUGAUCGCAUAGUGCAAAACUACAUGCGACCACAUGUAACCAGGCAAAAAAUCCAAUCGAAAAAUUGAAGAGUUCUAUACAACUGCAACCAAUAUAACUAUACGACCACAUAGAUCAAAUUUUACGCGAAAUUUCUCAAAAUUCGCAAAAUCUCCUAAUUUAGUUAAAACUCUAUAUUUUUGAUAUCUUUCGAAAUCUUUAGAAUUUGAUUUAGUUUUAACUAGGUUUACGAAAUUUCCUCAUUUAGUUAAAACUCUAUAUUUUUGGUAUCCUUUGUAAUUUUUAGAAUUUGAUUUCAUUUUAACUAGGUUUACAUGAGUUCCUUAUAUAUAGAACUCGAUAUUUUCAUUAUAGAACAAUUAUUCAUACAUACAAUUUGAGAUUAUUUGUGAGUAUAUUUUGUUUUCAAUCUUGUUCUUCAUUGAAAAAAAUUUCGAACUUAUCAAGAUCUAUUUUGUGAUCAAUUAUUCAUACAUACAAUUUGAGAUUAUUUGUGAGUAUAUUUUGUUUUCAAUCUUGUUCUUCAUUGAAAAAAAUUUCGAACUUAUCAAGAUCUAUUUUGUGAUCAAUUAUUCAUACAUACAAUUUGAGAUUCUUGAGUUUUGUGAUCAAGGGGUGUAACAUAUUGUCGGGUUCUUUGAUUCAAUAUUUUUGGAUCAAACUUUAAACAUUGAUUCUUGGCUUUCUUGAUUGAAUCAAUCUUGCGUGGGGUUCGUAGCUACUAUUGCUAUGUGGGUUCGCAUCAUUUGUACUCUGUACUCUUUUACUUGGGUUAUUAAAAAAAAAAAAAAAAAUAUAUAUAUAUAUAGAAACCCCAUCAGAAUGUUGUUAGUAAGGCACGCUGAAUAUUCAAUCGGAGAGAGGAAAGCACUCUAAGAAUGCAUGACACACAAGAAAUUUCAAAGCCUCAGAGCACGAGUGGAAAAUUACCAUGUGAAAUGAGCAAGGAUUCGAUUCUGACAAGUAUGGCAGAGUCGAGUAGCAGAGAGGGAAGUCACUGAUGUCAGUCUGACUAGGCCCUUAAUCAGCUGGCAAUUAACUUCAAACCUUGGCCUCCCAUUAUAAGCCAAAUCAGCAAAUCUAAAUCAUUCAGUCCCAAAGAAGCGUGCAACAGCUGAAUAAAGCUGCCCUUCAUCAAAUGGUUUAGAUACAUAGUCAUCCAUCCCACACUUCAUGCAUUCUUCAUUUGUUGCCUGAAUCACAUCUGCUGUCAUCGCUAAUAUAGGUGUGUGCCAAUGAACCAAAUUUUCAGACAUAUCAACUGAUACUUCACCAGAAUCAAUUUUUUCAUUAUAUUCACUCUCAAGACUGCGGAUCUCUCGAGUAGCUUCAAACCUGCAAGAUAAAGAUCAAUUAUAUUAAAAAAAUAUUAUUUGUUCCUUACUGAUGAAAUCAGUAGGAACAAUUCCAAAACCAGUUUGGUUGGGAAAUAAGUAGGAGCAUAUAGAUUCAAGAGCACAAUCAUCACAUGCCAAGAUCAAAUUCAAAACUGUUUCAGCUGAUACCAAUGAAGCACAGUCUAGACAAUAACAAAGCACUGUCUAAGGAAAUUUCUACAAGUCUGGCAUUUCUACUAGAACUGCUUCACAAUAUUAGUGCAUGCAAGGUGUCUAAACCUAAGACCCAGACAAGAUGUGCAACUAUCUACAAAUUUAAAUUUCAAAAUAAUCCUUGGGUUCACGAGUAUUGCACAUAAAAUUACGUAUCAUUAGGAAAUAUGAUGGCUAAGAAACAGGAAAGCUUAUUACCCAUCCAUUCCGGGCAUUUGGAGAUCCAUAAAACAAGCAUCAAACUUGUGGGGAGGCUUAAGCAACCCAACAGCUACCUUUCCCCCCUCCACACAGGUAACAACUGCUCCAUAUUUUUUCAGAGCACCUUCUGCCACUCUUCUGUUCACAGAAGUAUCAUCCACCACCAAAAUUUGUUUAGCUCUGAGUAGAGUUCUUAGCGUUGAUGAUUUAGCCCUUGUAUUAUGCUCCGUCUUUCCAAAUCCAGUAGCUUCUUGGAAGGUGAAUGCCAAUGCACUUAACCUUAAAGGUUUUGUUAUCACAUUAUCCACUAGCCUGUCCAAUUUCAGCUCUUUCCUUUCUGAAGAGCUUGUGCAGGUUGCUAACAAGAAUAUUUUCAGAGGGAUCCCUGAAUUAUUUAUGGAGCCAUUUUGUUUGAUCGUCUUUAGCAGGUUAUGGAAUCGAAAGCAAAUAUCUUUAUCCCAACUGUCUUGGUCAAUAAGAACCAUAGCUAAAUUCUCCAACACACUGUAUACAGAAUAACUAAGAGCAAUUAGCAAAAACAAGGUCAAAGCACAAUACCAUGGUUCCAACUUUUCUACAAUUUAAGCAUGUCAUAAAGUUAUGUUUUUCUUCCUGGAAUUUGUAAGAAUUAUGGCACUCAUGUUACUGAAGUGCAGACUUAUCAUUAUAGAAGUUGAACAUAAUUAUUGUAGCAGAAAUAAGAAUAUCUACUAAAACAAAACCUUGGCACAUCUGCCUAUUAAGGCUCUGUAAAUUUCUAGUCGUUAGCAGGGAAAAGCUAUGAUGCUCGGACUCCGGUAUGGGUAUCGGGCACGGCUACAUAUUUAAGCGUCGGAUCUUUUAUUUUCUAUAAUGUAGAAUACAGGGACAUGGAUAAAAAUAGUCUAAAUUUUGGACACAGGUAAGUGGGAACGUCUUUCAAACUUCGAUUUUUU
rnacentral:lncRNA from 1 species